UAAACGGUCCUUUUUAGGGCCACCAAUAUUUCACAAAAAGAUUCU
rnacentral:ncRNA from 1 species